rnacentral:rRNA from 1 species
ACGAGAAUAGCUUGCUAUUCGGCGUCGAGCGGCGGACGGGUGAGUAAUGCUUGGGAAUAUGCCUUAUGGUGGGGGACAACAGUUGGAAACGACUGCUAAUACCGCAUAACGUCUACGGACCAUAGGGGGGGAUCUUCGGACCUCUCGCCAUUUGAUUAGCCCAAGUGAGAUUAGCUAGUUGGUAAGGUAAUGGCUUACCAAGGCGACGAUCUCUAGCUGGUUUGAGAGGAUGAUCAGCCACACUGGGACUGAGACACGGCCCAGACUCCUACGGGAGGCAGCAGUGGGGAAUAUUGCACAAUGGGCGAAAGCCUGAUGCAGCCAUGCCGCGUGUGUGAAGAAGGCCUUCGGGUUGUAAAGCACUUUCAGCGAGGAGGAAAGGUUAGUAGUUAAUAACUGCUAGCUGUGACGUUACUCGCAGAAGAAGCACCGGCUAACUUCGUGCCAGCAGCCGCGGUAAUACGAGGGGUGCAAGCGUUAAUCGGAAUUACUGGGCGUAAAGCGUGCGUAGGUGGUUUGUUAAGCAAGAUGUGAAAGCCCCGGGCUCAACCUGGGAACUGCAUUUUGAACUGGCAAGCUAGAGUUUUGUAGAGGGUAGUGGAAUUUCCAGUGUAGCGGUGAAAUGCGUAGAGAUUGGAAGGAACAUCAAUGGCGAAGGCGGCUACCUGGACAAGACUGACUCUGAGGCACGAAAGCGUGGGGAGCAACAGGAUUAGAUACCCUGGUAGCCACGCCGUAAACGAUGUCAACUAGCCGUCUGUGGUCUUGAACCGUGGGUGGCGUAGCUAACGCGCUAAGUUGACCGCCUGGAGAGUACGGCCGCAAGGUUAAACUCAAAUGAAUUGACGGGGACCCGCACAAGCGGUGGAGCAUGUGAUUUAAUUCGAUGCAACGCGAAAAACCUUACCAUCCCUUGACUUCGAGAGAAAUGACUAGAGAUAGACUUGUGCCUUCGGGAACUCUGUGA